CAACAAAAUAAAAUUUAUAGGCUAUUUUAUUUAUUAAUGAUAAGUGUGAUAAAACAAUACACAGCGUAAUAUAAUAAAAUGGCAUAUAAACGUUAUUUAUUGAUGAGGAAGCACAAUAAACACACAUGAUUUUCUACCUGGGCACACAUGAUAAACACGUGAAUCCACCACGGGGCUAGGCAAUGGAGAUUUGCCAAAACUGCAAAAAACUGCCAAAAACCAAUAUCCAAUUUACAACCAUUUUUUUUUAGUCAUGGUUUGACUAAUUAAUUAAUCAACUCAUCAGCUCACCACAAACCAUAAACAUGAAUAACCUUUGGUAUAUUAAUAACAUGUAAUAAUGCUAUCCAAUAAGCUAGUUGACUUUACAACAAGCUAGCACAGCAUAGCUUAGCUUAUGUGUGUUAAAUUAAAUUGAAUACAUUGAUUGAUUCAUUUAGUUUUCACUCUGCAGGAAUGAAUAGGUUUGAAACAGUAGACCACUGUCUGAUAUAGCGUUUAUGGACCACUUAUGGUGCAGGGUGUACUCUGACACUGUAGCCAGAAGCACUACUGACACUGUAUCACCAUGAAGUGCUAAAAAUGUCAACUUAAUAACAGGAACUUUAAGGGUUGUAAUAUUGUCAAUAUGAAAUCAUAUAGUUUCGAUGGGGAUAAAAAGGUUACUAAGCAAAAAUGACCUUUGACCUUUAAAGGUAUCACUUUUGCUGUAAUAAUUUAGCCAAACUAUAGAUUCAAAGAUAAGAGGAAGUAGUUCUGAGUCACAUGUCCACACACACACACACACAUUCAUUCACAUUCACAGGUUACUCUGCGUCUCCCUAAUCCUGUCGGUCCAUUGGCCCGUUCCUCUCCAGUGGAAUGAAAAGUACAUCGCCAUAGAGACCGCAUCAAUGGCCUAUUAGCAUGAGAGGUGAGCUGAGGAGACCAGAGGAGAGACAGUGAAUGAAGUAGUGAGAGAGACAGAGUGCAGAGUUUAGGACGGACAGAGUGGGAAAAGAGGAGAUACUGAGGGAAGAAGGGAGCAGAAGAAUGGGCUGGAGGGAAAGGGAUGGAUGAAUGGAGAGUGUGUUUGAGAGUGGCUGGAAGGAGGGGGGGAGUGGGAAAGUUUAAAAGAACUGAUACAUCGGCUCUUUCUCUGUUUAGUCAAGGAGGAGGUUUAUGGGCACGGAUAAUUCUGCUUCCCCUGACACUGCCUGUCUGUCUCUUUCUGUCUCUCUCACUGCCUGUCUGUCUCUUUCUGUCUUUCUCCACUGUCUGUCUC